rnacentral:lncRNA from 1 species
GGCAGGAGGGGCUCAGUCCUUAAGAUCCUUAACAUAGUAAAUGUGCUUGUGUUCACUGUCUUGUACAUAUUCUCAUGUCCACAGCUGAGCCUUUUAGAUCAGGACUCCUGGACUUAUCAAAGUGAAAGGGCUCGCUAAUAUAAAGCCUCUUUCAUGAGACCACAGAUUGAAACGAUUGCAAUACUGUCAAUGGUCCUUCAAGGUAAGACUUCUGUCUCUGAUCAUUCAUAUCCUCUUGGCUUUAUGGAACUGUGUGCUGUUCACUUGAAACCCCUUUCUCAAACUGCUUGUGUACAUACUGGCAAUUUUAGUAGGAUCAGUUUGGCACUCACGUUGAAGUACAGAAGUGGUGUUGACCUAUAAGGUCCCCUUUUGUGGCUUGCUAAUAAUGACUGAUUGUAGUGGUCCUUUUCUGUUUACUACAGAAGGAAAUCACUCUCUGCCUUUAUGUCUUGUGCCUUUCCCUUUCAGCAGGGAAUGCGCAUUGUCAAAGACCCUUAUGUUUGAACAGCAAAAGUGCAAAACUGUCAUGGCCACAAGCAUGAGCCUUGCAUAUUAGUGUGCGUUAACUGCACCCGGCUCAUUCAGUUUGGAUAUGAUCCUACUCUCAAACCCUUUUGCGGUACAGCAAGGGUUACUAAUCUUAUGGCUUCUUCAUCUUCCUGGACACUGGGUAAGGAUAUCCCCUUCCUUUCCAUUCUUUAAUUUCCAGGACUGUCUAUUACUUUAAGGACUUAAUAUCUGCAUAAAGGGUGUGGUUUUAAUUGAUUACACGAUGUCCCUUGAACAUUAAUAUACAUGACAGGGACAUGAUCAAUUCAUUUUAAUAAAAAUACUUGGGCACUUAAUGUGUAAAAUCACAGUUGUCCACAACCUUAUUAACUUUCAGGACCACUGUAUCUCUUUUGCACUACUGCAAGGGAUACUAUACUUUUUAUCCCCCCAAGGUUCCCGCUAGUGGACCAUUAAUAUACAGCGAAUUUUCCUUUGUCUUUGCCAGUAGACAAGGGUGAGCCCUUCACCUUUCAUUUGCAGUAUAUCAGGGUCUACUGAUCAAGCAAGGCUGCGGACUGUCAUCAUAGGUUAUGUCUGCAUAUGCACUGCCUCCUGCUCUGUGCACUGGACAAGGAUCCCGCUCACACCACCACCUUCAGCAGGUGGUGUCUCUGCUCAAGACUUGUCAUUUGGAACGUUCACACGAACGAUGUCUAAGCACUUCUGUGAGAACUACUGUACCCUCUUCCCCGCUUUAAAGCAGAAAGGGGGCUCCACGAAGUGCUCUUUACUUGGACUUCAAAGUGCGUUAAUGCCAUUGUCCAGCACUACGUUUGGAGUAGGAUGCUACAUCCUUGCACUCCUUUGACCCCAGAGGCACGCUGGUUACUUCUGAGCACUUCUCUUGACAAUGUCAAUAUGUCCCCUUUCACAUCAUGGACCUGUAUGGCAGAAAAGGAUCUGAAAUGCCUACCUGUUGACUGGGGCUGCUGAGUGUAACUAUAACCUCAGCAUUUGGAUGAUUACUGAGCAAAAGUGUCAAGGACCUCUGUGCUGUCCUUCCAUACCAUCAAGGCUACUAACCAAGCUCCAUGAUUGUUAGUGUGAAUAAUUUAUGACUGCGUGCCUAGAAUCAGAUGUCCUCACAAGCCCCCUUUAUUAUUCAGACCUUGCUGAGCCACCUAAGACACCCGAGACUGUCUGUCCAUGAGCACAGUGACUGAUGAAUGGCUUGCUUUUUCUUCCUUAAACUUAUUUCGGGACUAUAAUAGGCACAAUGGCAGUUCUUGGUGGUAUUUUCUACUCUGACUUGUUGAGCAAACCCCCUUCUCUACUUUCCCAUUGAUAUAAUAAAGUAAAAUACAACACAACAGUACGUACACCCGACAGUGACCCAUAUUUGGACCCUUUUUUUUUGCACUGCUUUACUAAAUAAAAUUGUAAAUAGUCACAACCUCACACUUUAUAUUGUCUUCCUUUUGCCCGGCCCCUAGCUUGUCCAUGAACCACUCUUCUGGACUACUAAUUCUCAGAAACCCAUCAUUAAGGAAGAGUUUGUGCCCUUUCCCGAGCCCAUCACUCCAUCAUCCCUUUGGCCUCUUUGUUUACACCGUAUUGACUGAGUAAAGCCCUUCUCUUGACUUAAAGUCAACACCCCCAGAAGCCAUCAGUUUACUCCCUUCAUAUGGCUGCAAUGCUUCAGUUGCAUUCUCCUUGGUCCCAUUGAACAGAGACACUUCCAGUUCUUGCAUUAUUCUGGGUGAUGUUAAUUGCCCAAAACACCCUAUUUUCUAUUAAUAAACUUGCACGUAUUUAUUUAUACACCGAAUAGCAAAAGCAGGCCAAAACUAGGUGGAUGAGCCUUCUUUAACUUGCAUUUCUAAAAUUACUCCAAUUCCAAUCGCUGGCACAUUCUAGGGCCAGGAACCAGUCUUGCCUACCAUUAUUAAUGCUUUAUUGUGCAAAAUAUUUGAGGCAAGGUGCUCUGGGAGUUGGAUCGCCACCUUUUAUUUGGGGCUUUCCUUAUAUAGUAUCAACAGAAAAAUUGUCUCCCACAGAAAGAAGUUUAGCACUUUUCUCUCCAUUCUUCCUCCAGGAGCUUAAGAAACUUUAAACUCGGCUUUUGUAUAUUGCUGCUUGCUAUUGUACAGUACCAACUGCCAGAAAAGUUAUUGAUAGCUUUACAUUUUAAGAAAGGCAUUUGAGUUGCAAGGUGGAUUGAUUGUGUGUGAUCAUUAGCUUUUCUCAAGUAAAAAUAGCCGUUUGUAUUAUAGCUGAUGACUAAGUGGUCAGUGUGCUGAGGGCGGUGAGUCUGUGCAUAGAUAGAGCACUGCAAUACUGCAGAAUGUUUAAGACAAGCGUCUUUGCUUGGUCUGUUCUGCAAGCUUAAAAAGUCAAAAAUCAAUCUUUGUGUGGCCUUUAGUAUGAUUAAUUUUUAGGAAGACGACCUAAUCUUUAUAUUUUGUCUGACAUUGUUCACCAGCCCCUACUUGUUUUUAAAAGGUGGCUGUGGAAGAAUUAAAUUCGAGAACAUGUCAAGUCGCCUUCGAAAAUUAUAAGCCACAUUUAAUUUAUUCUAUCCACCAUUAAAUUCUGGCAGUAAUUUGAAGUGGCUUGAAAUAAACCACCAUAAAGUGGGAAGUUAGAGAGCUGUUUCCCCACUUUACAUUUUAAAAUAUGUAUGCCAGGAUCUAAUCAUUCCUUUAAGUGUACACUUCAAGGAGAGAUGUGCCGAAUAAGAAAAUAGCUUUCUCUAGCGUGAAGGGUUUUGCGUCCGCCGAGUUCUUAAGGUCUUUUUUAAGAGCUACUGUGUAUGAGUGUGUGUAUGUGUGCGCAUGCAUGUUCCUGCGACUAGUCAUUCAUUCACAUGGUGAUCAGACAACAAUGGGAGCUGGUUCGUCUACCUUAUCUUGUGGGUCCUGGAGUUCAAUCUCAGAUCAUCAGGCUGGGCAGCAAGUGCCUUCACCCUCCGAGCCAUCUUGCCAUCCCACAGCUGAGCGUCUAAUAUGACAUUGCCGAUGAAAAUAGUCAUCACAACAGCAGUUCUUCAGCAUUACUGAAAAAAAAAAAGAUACUAUUUUUCUGAGAAGGAUAUCAAGCAACUCAUCCAGUUCAGGAUCCAGGUUGAACCACUGCUCUUCAGUUCCAUCAGACUCUGGCUGUUUAGAGUACAGGGUGAAUCUGGAGUUGGUUUUGUGCCCCUGCCUCAAGAAGGAUUGCCUGGAUUUAGAGGAGUGAAGAGUGCUGGAGAGUGCUGGUUGACUGAGAGUCUCUGCCCUUACGGGAACAAUCCUGAUGUGACACUCAGACAGACAGACUGCCAGCGGCUGAUACAGGCUACAUUCCAUUCCAGCAGCUCUUCCCUUCAAGCCCUAGCUAAUCUGAAGAAAAAGCUUACAGGCCACACAGAGGGGAAAAAAGAUUUCCCCCAGAGUCUGGGCUUGGUGCUUUGCAGUGCUGGCGACCUAUUCCCUUUGACGAUCCCUAGGUGGAGAUGGGGCAUGAGGAUCCUCCAGGGGAAUAGCUCACCGCCACUGGGCAACAGGCCUAGCCCCGAUUUCAGUGAGACACUUUCCAGAACCCAGCAAGGAAGACAAAGGCUCAAAGACAGCUAGCCACCCUACAUCAAAAUAGGACAAAAGCUGCCACAAUAGUGGCACCGACCUCAGGAGGAAGCCAUUCUGCUCUAUUUGGUUCUCCCUGGAAGCUAGGAGAAUGUGGCCAGCUGUUUACACACUUCAAGAUGCACUCUGCUACCCUACCUGUAAUACACAAUGCCAUCUACCAAAUAUCACCCUUCCCCAAAGCAGCACAGAAAACUGAACCUUCAGCACGAUCAAGAAAUGUAAACACAUGGAAGAACGCCAGCUUUACAUACGACCAGAGGAUCAACAU